rnacentral:rRNA from 1 species
CGGGGGGCUUAACCAGGACAAAUCGAGCGGUAGGCCCCUUCGGGGGUUAACGAGCGGCGAACGGGUGAUAAAAAAAAGAGAAAAAGCCCAUCACAUCGGGAUAACUCCGGGAAACUUAAAAAUAAGAAAGGAAUACGACCACCUCAGGCAUCUGACGGUGGUGGAAAGUUCCGGCGGUGAUGGAUGAGCUCGCGGCCUUUCUCCUUGUUGGUGGGGUGAUGGCCUACCAAGGCGACGACGGGUAGCCGGCCUGAGAGGGUGACCGGCCACACUGGGACUGAGACACGGCCCAGACUCCUACGGGAGGCAGCAGUGGGGAAUAUUGGACAAUGGGCGCAAGCCUGAUCCAGCCAUGCCGCGUGUGUGAAGAAGGCCUUCGGGUUGUAAAGCACUUUUGUUCGGGAAGAAAUCUUCCGACCUAAUACGUCGGGAGGAUGACGGUACCGAAAGAAUAAUCAUCGGCUAUCUUCGUGCCAGCAGCCGCGGUAAUA